rnacentral:rRNA from 1 species
AUUGAACGCUGGCGGCAUGCCUUACACAUGCAAGUCGAACGGCAGCAUGAUCUAGCUUGCUAGAUUGAUGGCGAGUGGCGAACGGGUGAGUAAUACAUCGGAACGUGCCCUGUAGUGGGGGAUAACUAGUCGAAAGAUUAGCUAAUACCGCAUACGACCUGAGGGUGAAAGUGGGGGACCGCAAGGCCUCAUGCUAUAGGAGCGGCCGAUGUCUGAUUAGCUAGUUGGUGGGGUAAAGGCCCACCAAGGCGACGAUCAGUAGCUGGUCUGAGAGGACGAUCAGCCACAAUGGGACUGAGAACCGGCCCAGACCCCUACGGGGGGCAGGAGGGGGGAAUUUUGGACAAUGGGGGCAACCCUGAACCAGGAAUGCCGCGUGUGUGAAGAAGGCCUGCGGGUUGUAAAGCCCUUUUGUCCGGAAAAAAAUCGAACUUACUAAUAUUAGGGUGGGAUGGCGGUAACGGAAGAAUAAGGACCGGCUAACUAC